AUGAAAGAACCUGCUACAUAUGUAACCAAAAAAUUAAACUUAUGCUCUUUAACACUGACAUCUCUGGAAAAAAAAUGUGUCUGUGUCAUACAGACACUUGUGAUUGCGUUUAAUUUAUUCAUUUUUUUCAAUUAUUACGAGUAUCGACAUGUCGGUAUUGAUUCUCUUAGAGACUCAGUUUGGAUUACCUUAUAG